UGGGGAAUAUUGCACAAUGGGCGCAAGCCUGAUGCAGCCAUGCCGCGUGUGCGAUGAAGGCCUUCGGGUUGUAAAGCACUUUUGGCAGGAAAGAAAUAGGCCUGGCUAAUACCUGGGCUGAAUGACGGUACCCGCAGAAGAAGCCCCGGCUAACUUCGUGCCAGCAGCCGCGGUAAUACGAAGGGGGCUAGCGUUGUUCGGAAUUACUGGGCGUAAAGGGCGCGUAGGCGGACUGUUAAGUCAGGGGGUGAAAUCCCCGGGGCUCAACCCCGGAAGCUGCCUUUGAUACUGGCGGUCUUGAGUUCGGGAGAGUGAGUGGAAUUCCGAGUGUAGAGGUGAAAUUCGUAGAUAUUCGGAGGAACACCAGUGGCGAAGGCGGCUCUCUGGGCCAGUACUGACGCUGAGGAGCGAAGCGUGGGGAGCAAACA
rnacentral:rRNA from 1 species